UAUUCACUUUCUCAUGGACCCAGUAAAGGGGCGAAUUGGAUGAUCCGUAGGCAGGUCAUCCUAACCACGGAACAUUCUCACCUAUACCUGUCAAUGGAUAGACGGAGUGGCUCCGAGUGACAUUGUUUUGUUGAUCGAAUGGCUCUGAGUGACAACUAGACUUAUCAACUAGUAAAAGAAAGCUCUUUUUCUAUAGGGGCCCUAAGUCGAAUUGGUGGCGGUUGCUCGGAUCAAAAGAGUAGAAGAAAACGUUAGAGAAAAGGGAAAGGAAGCAGUGGCGGCGGUGGCAGUAGCCAAAUUAAUAGUAAGAAAGUAGCACAACAUCAAGACAGAGAUAUCCCCAUGAAAUAUUGGCGACAAAUUGGAUCAAGUAAAGAAUUAAGAAAGUAGUGGCAAGUAGAACAGUAUGGUGAUGAUGAGAGAUAGCAAGCAGGAACAUGUUUACUUGUUCUCCUUCCUUUUUCUUCUCCAACUUUUGUUUCUACUGACUAUACUGCUGCUGCAGCUCCUGCUUUUGCCGCAGCAACUGUUGCUGCUCCUGCUGCUGCAGCUGCUGCUACUUCUUCCUAUUGUUUUUCUGCACAUUUUCCUUUUAUUCUCUCAUACUUUAAUGCUACUGUUCCCCCUACAUAUAAUAUGUGAGAAGCUACUCCUUUUAGCUUUUCAGUCAAUUACUUAGGUCAUCCUAGCUACUAAAUCUAGCAUUAAUCCUAAAUUUUAGUACGAUCUGAUUUUAUGUCACCACAGUUUAA